ACUUCUGAGCAAGAAACCAAAGGUCUUCCCACAAAAAAGGGAAUUGUACAGUCUAUUGUUGGUCAAGGGUAUCACCGUAAAAUAGUUCUGGCGUCACAGUCUAUUCAGAACACUGUCUACAACGAUGGGCAGUCUUCAGCCAUUCCUGUAGCCAGUGUGGAGUUUGCAGCCAUCUGUCUCAGAAAUGCCUUGUUGCUGUUACCUGAAGAGCAGCAAGAUCCAAAGCAGGAAAACGGCUCCAAGAGCAGCAGCCAACUUGGAGGAAAUGCGGAAAGCAGCGAGAGCAGUGAGACGUGCAGCAGUAAAAGCCAUGAUGGAGAUAAGCUCAUUCCUGCUCCACCGUCUUCUCCCCUGAGGAAACAGGAGUUAGAAAACCUCAAGACUCAAUAGAGAGAGGUAGACAGCUCUGAGUUUGAGGCCAGCAUAUUGUGGAUAGCAAGUUCCAGACCAGCCCAGGAUGGUGCUCCAUCCUUGCUUGCAGUGCUUAUGUGGCCCUGGCCUUAGGUGACAACCUCAUGGCGUUGAACCAUGCAGAUCAGCUCCUGCAGCAGCCCAAGCUGUCUGGCUCUCUUAAGUUUUUGGGCCAUUUAUAUGCCGCAGAAGCCCUCAUCUCCCUCGACAGAAUAUCUGAUGCCAUUACGCACUUGAACCCAGAGAAUGUCACUGAUGUCUCUUUAGGAAUCUCUUCAAAUGAACAGGACCAAGGUUAAUGAGGACACAUUUGAUCAGAACUGGUCACUGCCGCCACUUCUGUCCUGUGUAACUCAGGAUGUGUAGGACCCAAGGGCAUGGUUGUGAAGGGAAGGAAGUUUGAAGUCUCUCCAUGCCUAUGGCUGUCCUUACUGUGUACUGAUUGUUGGCGAAGAAAGGCCGGGAAACUGCUUGUCACGUGGCCUAAAUUCUCAGAGGCUGACAUGUUAGGAUUCUUCCCUUCCAUCCCUUCCCUUCCUCCAUCCUGCCUUCUCCUUACCUUACCCUCCCUCCCUCCUUCCUUCCUCCUUUCUUCCUCACACCCCACACCCCUUCCCCUUUGUCUUAAAGAGAUAUAAUCUCACUUUUUGCCCAGGCUCGUGCCAUCCUCUGACCUGGCUGGACUUUUUGAGUGCUAGGCUUACAGGCGUUUGUGCCCACCCACCUGGCUUAAGAUUUAUUUGGGUUUGGUUCUGACACUUUUUUUCUUUGAACUGAUUCCUCUGUGCAAGAGGAGACAUGGUUUUCAAACAAUUUUCAGUCACGUUUAAGUUUCUGAUUCUGUGAGACCAUGUGGUCCCCUCUUCAUGACUAACUCAUGUGGGGUGGUGGUGAGGUUGCAUCCUGACACCUUUAACAGGGCCUCCACAACACCAAAAGCAAGUACUUGCACUCAUUACGGUCCUACUUGGUAAGAAACUUAGGUAUUUAGAAGAUG
rnacentral:lncRNA from 1 species